UGAGAAUCUGCCUUUUGGUCGGGGACAACCACUGGAAACGGUGGCUAAUACCGGAUGUGCCUUUAGGGGUGAAAGAUUAAUUGCCAGAAGAAGAGCUCGCGUCUGAUUAGCUAGUUGGUGAGGUAAAGGCUCACCAAGGCAGCGAUCAGUAGCUGGUCUGAGAGGAUGACCAGCCACACUGGGACUGAGACACGGCCCAGACUCCUACGGGAGGCAGCAGUGGGGAAUUUUCCGCAAUGGGCGAAAGCCUGACGGAGCAAUACCGCGUGAGGGAGGAAGGCUCUUGGGUUGUAAACCUCUUUUAUCAGGGAAGAACCAAAUGACGGUACCUGAAGAAUCAGCAUCGGCUAACUCCGUGCCAGCAGCCGCGGUAAUACGGAGGAUGCAAGCGUUAUCCGGAAUUAUUGGGCGUAAAGCGUCCGCAGGUGGCUCAUCAAGUCUGCUGUCAAAGGCAGGGGCUUAACCCCUGAAAGGCAGUGGAAACUGGGGAGCUAGAGUGCAGUAGGGGUAGAGGGAAUUCCCGGUGUAGCGGUGAAAUGCGUAGAGAUCGGGAAGAACAUCGGUGGCGAAAGCGCUCUGCUGGACUGCAACUGACACUAAAGGACGAAAGCUAGGGGAGCGAAUGGGAUUAGAUACCCCAGUAGUCCUAGCCGUA
rnacentral:rRNA from 1 species